rnacentral:rRNA from 1 species
AUUGAACGCUGGCGGCAGGCUUAACACAUGCAAGUCGAGCGGGGUGAUGGUGCUUGCACUAUCACUUAGCGGCGGACGGGUGAGUAAUGCUUAGGAAUCUGCCUAUUAGUGGGGGACAACAUCUCGAAAGGGAUGCUAAUACCGCAUACGUCCUACGGGAGAAAGCAGGGGAUCACUUGUGACCUUGCGCUAAUAGAUGAGCCUAAGUCGGAUUAGCAAGUUGGUGGGGUAAAGGCCUACCAAGGCGACGAUCUGUAGCGGGUCUGAGAGGAUGAUCCGCCACAAUGGGAAUGAGACACGGCCCAGACGCAUACGGGAGGCAGCAGUGGGGAAUAUUGGACAAUGGGGGGAACCCUGAUCCAGCCAUGCCGCGUGUGUGAAGAAGGCCUUAUGGUUGUAAAGCACUUUAAGCGAGGAGGAGGCUCUUUUGGUUAAUACCCAAGAUGAGUGGACGUUACUCGCAGAAUAAGCACCGGCUAACUCUGUGCCAGCAGCCGCCAUAA